GACAGGGGUCUCGAGCGUUAAUCGGAAUUACUGGGCUUAAAGGGUGCGUAGGCCGGCCCGCAAGUGACUUGUGAAAUCCCCCGGCUCAACCGGGGAACAGCUCGUCAUACUGCGGGUCUUGAGGAAGGUAGGGGUUGCCAGAACUGUAGGUGGAGCGGUGAAAUGCGUAGAUAUCGGAAGGAACGCCGGUGGCGAAAGCGACGUGCUGGACCCCCCCUGACGCUGAGGCGCGAAAGCCAGGGGAGCAAACGGG
rnacentral:rRNA from 1 species